rnacentral:misc_RNA from 1 species
GAUGAAGAACGUAGCGAAAUGCGAUAAGUAAUGUGAAUUGCAGAAUUCCGUGAAUCAUCGAAUCUUUGAACGCACAUUGCGCCCGCCAGUAUUCUGGCGGGCAUGCCUGUCUGAGCGUCAUUUCAACCCUCAUGCCCCUAGGGCGUGGUGUUGGGGAUCGGCCAAAGCCCGCGAGGGACGGCCGGCCCCUAAAUCUAGUGGCGGACCCGUCGUGGCCUCCUCUGCGAAGUAGUGAUAUUCCGCAUCGGAGAGCGACGAGCCCCUGCCGUUAAACCCCCAACUUUCCAAGGUUGACCUCAGAUCAGGUAGGAAUACCCGCUGAACUUAAGCAUAUCAAUAAGCGGACGA